UAUCAGGAACCAUGGCUCACUGGAGCACCAUCUUUGGAGUCUAGCUAACACAGCAUCUUGGAUGCACUCCUAAGAGAAGACUACCUGAAAGGCGUGUACACUGGUCUAGCAGUUGAGAUCAGCUAGUGUUCCAUCUAUCUUCUGUCAUGUCAGGGAAGACUCUCUGAUCCUCUCAUAAUUUACCUAUUGUUGAUUUCCUGAAUCUUUUUAAAUCCUUUGCAACUGAAGAUGGUCUCUCCAUCAGAGAAGCAAUUAACCAAAUGCCUGACUACAGCGUAUAUAGCAUCUGUUAUAAAAGCAUAAAAGGUUAACUUAAAUCCUGGCACACAAAGGAGAUGUCAGACCAGAACAAAUCAGCAUGGAAAUACCUGGAGGAGAUACAAGGUUAAGGUGGAGCAUAUGUACAGUCAAGAGGAUGUUCAUGACUAGUGGAAUGUGUUUUUCAGAUUGCAAAGACUGGAAGGUUAGAAAUGACAUGUCUAUUAUGAAUCAACAUAAUUCAUCUUCUGCAGCUUUUACCUGACAAAAGAAAAUGUGCCUUAUUCUUCCCUAUGCAACUCAAAAUCCAAACAAAGAACUAUAGACGUGUCAACUUUCAUCUCAUAGAAAUGCUUAGGUAUUUUUUAAAGAAAAAGAGAACACUUUUUAAAAGAUUAUGCAUUGCCUGAGUUAAGAGAGUUAAGAAGAUAAAUAAGAAUAGAUUUGUUUUAUCUUAUAGAUGAACCUCUUUCAAUCAGUUAUUAUAGGAUGGAAUAAUAAAACAUUAAAAUACUAUACAUAUAAAACUAAUCAUUACAAAUUAAAUGGACUGCACUAUUACAAUUUUAGAUUGAAUUAUGCGGUAGAUUAAUAAUGAUCACAAAGGUUUAAUAUUCAUUCAAUUGAGAGAAGAGUUCAAGUUCCUCUUCACUUGAAUCUUGGUGAGCUCUGUGAGUGCCUUAUGAAUAUAGCUGCAAUAAUUCCAUGCCAGUUUCUGGGCCACAGCAUUAAGAGGCUAAUAGCAUCCACUUUUUGUCUGUUAUGACCCUUGCUCUUAAGGCCCUAAGCUGUAGUAUGAGUCCAACUAUCCUCCUGAAUAAACCACGUGGUGGAGAGGCCCUGAGAUUACAAAAUAAAAUAGUGAGCCCAGUAGAAUCCAGCUCUGCCAAGAUCCCAAACAUGGGAAUAAAGCUGUCUUGGAUCCAGCAGACCACCUCAGCUAUCUAUGGCUACUACCAAGUAUUCAUGUCAUGUAAUAUGGAGCUAAUAAUUGUCCAGAAUGAGCCUGCAUUAUUUGCUAUUUCACAAAAUUAUAAAAUAUAUUAGAAGGUAGUUAUUCCAAACCACUAAA
ensembl:lncRNA LINC02465 long intergenic non-protein coding RNA 2465